GGGACCUCAGAGCCCUCCCUGGAAACCUCCCACCCAGAGUGGGUGGGAGCCCUCCCCUCUCAGGGCCCCCAAACCUGCUCCCCUGUGUGUGGGGUACAGUGAUCAACCACCGAAGCAGCUGCCAUUCCUAACAACCCAACAGCUAUGGGCUCAGUCCAGGCCUCUGGGCUGCCAACCUUGUCGAGAAAAGAAGAGUGGAACUGUUCUCCAGUCACUGUUGCCACACUUAAAAAAAAAACUUUUUCCUGAAGCGUGUAUUCAGAAAAGACCGCCAAUCAUAAGCGUACAGUUUGACACGUUUUCACAAGGGGCACGUGAUGUCAUCAGCACCCAGAUGAAGGAAUGGGAGGAUGCCAGAGGCCUGAAGCCCCCGGCCCCUGUUUCUGUUUCUAGUUACUUCCCCCUAGGCGACCCCUUCCGGUAUUCCUGGGCCUCCCUGGUGACUCAGCUAGUAAAGAAUCCCCCUGCAAUGAGGGAGACCUGGGUUCGAUCCCUGAGUUGGGAAGAUACCCUGGAGAAGGGAACAGCUACCCACUCCAGUAUUCUGGCCUGGAGAAUUCCAUGGACAGAGGAGCCUGGCAGGCUGCAGUCCAUAGCAUUGCAAAGAGUCAAACACGCCUGAGCGACUUUCAUUUUUCCCCCCUACUAAGAGUAAUUAUCUUGUGACUUCUAACACCAUGGAUUAGCUUCUCCCAUUUUUGAACUUCAUAUUAGUGGAAUCAUAUAAGAUCUUUUCAUCUGUACCUGGUUUCCUUUGCUCAACAUUAUCUGUGAGAUUCUUCAUAUUAUUCCUUUUUUUUUUUUUUUUUGGCCACCCCUGCCUCACAGCUUGUGGGAUCUUAGUUCCCGGACCAGAGAUCAAACUGGGGCCUCCAGCAGUGGGAGUGCAGGGUCCUAACCACUGGACCACCAGGGAAUUUCCUGUAUUAAUUUUGUGGAUGCUUAACAAAGGUCCGUCUAGUCAAGGCUAUGGUUUUUCCAGUGGUCAUGUAUGGAUGUGAGAGUUGGACUGUGAAGAAAGCUGAGUGCCAAAGAAUUGAUGCUUUUGAACUGUGGUGUUGGAGAAGACUCUUGAGAGUCCCUUGGACUGCAAGGAGAUCCAACCAGUCCAUUCUGAAGGAGAUCAGUCCUAGUUGUUCUUUGGAAGGACUGAUGCUGAAGCUGAAACUCCAAUACUUUGGCCACCUCAUGUGAAGAGUUGACUCAUUGGAAAAGACUGAUGCUGGGAGGGAUUGGGGGCAGGAGGAGAAGGGGACGACAGAGGAUGAGAUGGCUGGAUGGCAUCACUGACUCGAUGAACAUGAGUUUGAGUGAACUCCGGGAGCUGGUGAUGGACAGGGAGGCCUGGCGUGCUGUGAUUCAUGGGGUCGCAAAGAAUCGGACACGACUGAGUGACUGAACUAAACUGAACUGAACACUCCAUUAUACGAACAUAGCACUGUUGAUUUAUCCAUCCUACUGUUGAUGAUCAGAGUUGCCUCUAGUGGAGGCUAUUGUGAGUAGCACUGCCACGGACACUCCACUGUUUAAAAUUUGGUGCACAUAAGUACUCAUAUUUUAAUCUACCCCAAGGGGUGCAACCUCUGAGUCAUGAUGUAUGCAUUUUGUAGAUUUUGCCAAAUAGUUUAGGAAAGUAGUUGUACCACUAGAAAUACACAUGACUGAGGGACUAGAAAUGGAUGAACCUCCUCACCAACAUUUGAUAUUGUCAGUCUUUUAAAUUUUAUCCCUUCCCUGGGGAUGAAGCGCUAUCUCACUGAAUUUGCAUUUCCCUGAUGACUAAUGGUGUGGAGCACCUUUUCAUGGGCUUAUUGGCCACUUGGAUGGCUUCUUGUGAAGUGCCUGUCUAAAUCUUUUUUUUUUUUCUGUUUAAAUCUUUUCCUCAUUUUUCUAUUGGAUUGUCCACCUUUUUCUUAUUGAUCUUCUGUAGUUUCUUUUUUGUAUUCUAGAUGUGCACUGACUCUGCUCUUAACUUCAGCCAAUUAUUUUUGCAAAUGAGUGCAUUUGAUCCCAAGGGGGAAGGAGUGUCUCUUUAAUGGGAAGCCACAUCACAGAGGGGCUGGUGAGUCCACUUGUCAUGUUCGUAAUCAGGUUCCCUGUUGCUCUAGAAAAGUGGUCCAAGUGUCUGGGACCACCUGUUGAAGGAAACAGGGCAAAAGAGGGCAGGCCCAGUAGCCUGAGUAGGGGACUGUGAGUUUCCUUGUCAGAAAUCCUGAACCUGGGCACUGGCCUUACCACUUCUGAACGUGUGAUGUUGGAGAAGUCACUAAGCCUUCCUAAGCAUUUAUUCCCUUCUCAAGGAAAUAAAGAUAAUAAUACCCAUUUCA
ensembl:lncRNA